UAGCGGCGGACGGGUGAGUAACACGUGGGUAACCUGCCCAUAAGACUGGGAUAACUCCGGGAAACCGGGGCUAAUACCGGAUAANAUUUUGAACUGCAUGGUUCGAAAUUGAAAGGCGGCUUCGGCUGUCACUUAUGGAUGGACCCGCGUCGCAUUAGCUAGUUGGUGAGGUAACGGCUCACCAAGGCAACGAUGCGUAGCCGACCUGAGAGGGUGAUCGGCCACACUGGGACUGAGACACGGCCCAGACUCCUACGGGAGGCAGCAGUAGGGAAUCUUCCGCAAUGGACGAAAGUCUGACGGAGCAACGCCGCGUGAGUGAUGAAGGCUUUCGGGUCGUAAAACUCUGUUGUUAGGGAAGAACAAGUGCUAGUUGAAUAAGCUGGCACCUUGACGGUACCUAACCAGAAAGCCACGGCUAACUACGUGCCAGCAGCCGCGGUAAUACGUAGGUGGCAAGCGUUAUCCGGAAUUAUUGGGCGUAAAGCGCGCGCAGGUGGUUUCUUAAGUCUGAUGUGAAAGCCCACGGCUCAACCGUGGAGGGUCAUUGGAAACUGGGAGACUUGAGUGCAGAAGAGGAAAGUGGAAUUCCAUGUGUAGCGGUGAAAUGCGUAGAGAUAUGGAGGAACACCAGUGGCGAA
rnacentral:rRNA from 1 species